rnacentral:rRNA from 1 species
AAUCAACGCUGGCGGCGCGCUUAACACAUGCAAGUCGAACGGGAAAGUGGAGCAAUCCAUGAGUACAGUGGCGUACGGGUGAGUAACACGUGGGUAAUCUGCCUCUUAGUGGGGAAUAACCCUGGGAAACCGGGGCUAAUACCGCAUAAGCCUGAGAAGGGAAAGUCGCAAGACGCUGAGAGAGGAGCCCGCGGCCGAUUAGCUAGUUGGGAGGGUAAAAGCCUACCAAGGCAAAGAUCGGUAGCCGGCCUGAGAGGGCACACGGCCACACUGGCACUGAAACACGGGCCAGACUCCUACGGGAGGCAGCAGUGGGGAAUCUUGCACAAUGGGGGAAACCCUGAUGCAGCGACGCCGCGUGAGCGAUGAAGCCCUUCGGGGCGUAAAGCUCUUUCGGCAGGGAAGAUGAUGACGGUACCUGCAGAAGCAGCUGCGGCUAACUACGUGCCAGCAGCCGCGGUAAUACGUAGGCAGCGAGCGUUGUUCGGAGUUACUGGGCGUAAAGGGUGUGUAGGCGGUUGUUUAAGUUUGGUGUGAAAUCUCCCGGCUCAACUGGGAGGGUGCGCCGAAUACUGAAUGACUAGAGUGCGGGAGAGGAGAGUGGAAUUCCUGGUGUAGCGGUGAAAUGCGUAGAUAUCAGGAGGAACACCGGCGGUGUAGACGGCUCUCUGGACCGCGACUGACGCUGAGACACGAAAGCGUGGGUAGCAAACAGGAUUAGAUACCCUGGUAGUCCACGCCCUAAACGAUGCAUAUUUGGUGUGGGUCAUUCAGUUGAUCCGUGCCGGAGCUAACGCGUUAAAUAUGCCGCCUGGGGAGUACAGUCGCAAGGCUGA